rnacentral:piRNA from 1 species
CGGAGCUGUGAGGCGACUGCGGG